ACUGGCGAACCGUGGCUCUUUCUGUCCCUGGGUUUACGUUCUUUUCCCUUCACGCGACUGGGGCCCCUCAUUCCUUCUUUGACAAAUUUUUAAAUCCUCACGCUUUUCAAGAGAAAAAAAAUUUUAAUACCUUCAGCAACUACCUGGAAUUUAAAACCAUUUUGCUUUCCCUUUGCUUAGAACCAAGGUCUUCAUUCUGGGGAGCGGUCUCUGAAAAGGAGUCGCUUAUCCCGGAUGCAAGUCUCGCGAGAAACUGACACUCUACCGCGGUAUUUCCCUUUUUCCAGAAUCCUUAGCGCGAGGCGGAAAAUGACUCGUUUAUCUUCAGCUUCUGCCCAUUAGCCCAUUUUCCCUGCGGCCUCUUCUUUCUCUUUCAGUGUUGCAGUUUCUGCGAGGGAAAUGGCGGCCCCGGAGCAGCCACUACCGCCGAUGUCAAGAGGAUGCCAGAGCUCUGCUUCCCUCUCUCCGUCACGGGGCGACCGAACCCUUUUAGUGAGGCACCUGCCAGCUGAGCUGACUGCUGAGGAGAAAGAGGAUUUGCUCAAGUAUUUCGGGGCGCAGUCGGUGCGCGUCCUGUCAGAUAAGGGACGACUGAAACAUACGGCUUUUGCUACUUUCCCUAAUGAAAAAACAGCAAUAAAGGCAUUGACAAGACUACAUCAGCUAAAACUUUUGGGUCAUACUUUAGUUGUUGAAUUUGCAAAAGAACAAGAUCGAGUUCAUUCCCCAUGUCCCUCUUCAGACACUGAAAAAAAGAAAAGAUCUGAUGACCCUGUGGAAGAUGAUAAAGAAAAGAAAGAACUUGGUUGUUUAACCAUUGAAAAUGGGAUUGCACCAAACCAUGGGCUGACUUUUCCUCUGAAUUCAUGCCUCAAGUAUAUGUACCCACCACCUUCAAGCACAAUCCUAGCAAACAUAGUAAAUGCUUUGGCAAGUGUGCCUAAGUUCUAUGUACAGGUACUUCAUCUUAUGAAUAAAAUGAAUUUGCCCACACCUUUUGGACCAAUUACUGCACGACCUCCCAUGUAUGAAGAUUAUAUGCCAUUACAUGCACCUCUUCCACCUGCAUCUCCUCAGCCACCAGAGGACCCUCCUUUGCCAGAUGAGGAUGAGGAAUUGUCAAGUCAAGAAUCAGAAUAUGAAAGCAGUGAUGAUGAAGACCGACAGAGAAUGACUAAACUAAUGGAACUAGCAAAUCUUCAGCCCAAAAGACCAAAAACAGUAAAGCAGCACCAUGUUAGAAAAAAGCGAAAAUUAAAGGAUAUGUUGAAAACACCAUCUACUUCACACAGCAGUUUACAUCCAGUCCUGUUACCUUCGGAUGUAUUUGACCAACCACAACCUGUAGGUAGUAAGAAAAUUGAAUUUCAUAUAUCUACUGACAUGCCAUCUGCAUUUAAGAAAGAUCUAGAAAAAGAACAAAAUCGUGAAGAACAAAAUUAUGGCUCCAUCUGUACUCUUGUCCUGGUCCUGCCGGCAUUAGGGUGGGCUUGGAUAAAUCAUCUGACCAUAAUCUCCACCAGAGAGGCAGCCUAUGCAGUACCCCUGCCCCAGAGCACAGUGCCCAUCACAGAAGAGCAGAUAAUAAAUAUUGAUUUACCUGCUACUGAAGGUGAUACACCCAAUGUAGGAUUUGGAAAAAUCUUCCCCAAACCUAAUUUGAACAUCACAGAAGAGAUUAAAGAAGACUAUGAUGAAAUGCCAUCAGAAUGUAUUUCUAGAAGGGAGUUGGAAAAAGGCAGAAUUUCCAGAGAAGAAAUGGAAAAACUUUCAGUUUUCAGAAGUUAUGAACCUGGUGAACCAAACUGUAGAAUUUAUGUAAAGAAUUUAGCUAAACAUGUUCAAGAAAAGGACCUUAAGUUUAUUUUUGGGAGAUAUGUUGACUUUUCUUCAGAAACACAAAGGAUAAUGUUUGAUAUACGUUUGAUGAAAGAAGGUCGCAUGAAAGGACAAGCUUUCAUUGGACUUCCAAAUGAAAAAGCAGCAACAAAAGCCUUAAAGGAAGCUAAUGGAUUUGUUCUUUUUGGAAAACCUAUGGUGGUUCAAUUUGCUCGAUCUGCUAGACCAAAACAAGAUUCUAAAGAAGGAAAAAGAAAGUGAUAAAAAUCAAUAAAGAAGCAUUCCUGCGUAAAUACUGCUGUAAUACUGUCAUACAAAGUGUAUCCUUUCUUGUUGUAUCCUUUUUGGGGCAGUGUUUUUUGUUCUUCCUAGAAAUGUUUUGUCCCUCUCCCACUCAUUAAUUCAGAAUAAGCAAUAUUUUUUAUUCUUUAUUCGAAUGAGUUAUUUUUUAAAUUAUCAGUGAUGAUUGGACAAAUUAUUUAGGUGGGGUUUUUUUGAUUUGCUGAUUUUCUCUGCUGUUCUUGAGAGUAUGUAAUUUUUCUAGGGAAAGUUAGUGAAUCAGGUCAACAUAUUUACUUGGAGAAUGUAUGCAUUUGCUUUAACACAGAAUUUAGUCUUGUUUCUUAUGUAUUUCCUAAACCUAAUUUAGUAACAAUAUGCCUUCUGUUUUAUGAUGUAUUUGGUUUAGGUGUUUUAUAUAAUGUGUUGUAAAUUUUGUUUGGGGAAAGGAUUUUUUUUUCUUUUAAAAAAGUACAUAUAAUAAAAAUUAAAAUAACCGGAUUUCUUUGUAAAUUCCAAAUAAGAGGAGCAGACCUCACAUCUGAGGUUUUAUUAUUGAUAUCUCUUUUGAGAUAAAUAGCAAGCAGAAGUAUCUUUUUUCCUCUUUUUCUAAACAAAACAAAAGGAAUAGGAAAAGAGGAACAGAGGGAAGAAGACAUAAUGUUGACUCAGGCUAGCACAUUAAGUGAAAAGAAACAAUACUGGUUCUUUUUGAUUCCAUGUCUUCCAACUGCUUUCCAGAGGAGAAGAAAUUGACAUCUGGACUAUGGAACUGUGCGUAAUAGCUUUUAAAGUAUAUUUAAAAAUUAAAUCUAUAUGCAUUUAAAUCUGUUUAUUUGGGAUCUAUUACAUGUAUUUUAAUCAUCUUCCCAUAUAUAAUAAAUUAUUUUUUUCCAAUGAA